rnacentral:rRNA from 1 species
CGCCAGCUAAGGUCCCAAAGUCAUGGUUAAGUGGGAAACGAUGUGGGAAGGCCCAGACAGCCAGGAUGUUGGCUUAGAAGCAGCCAUCAUUUAAAGAAAGCGUAAUAGCUCACUGGUCGAGUCGGCCUGCGCGGAAGAUGUAACGGGGCUAAACCAUGCACCGAAGCUGCGGCAGCGACGCUGAUGCGUUGUUGGGUAGGGGAGCGUUCUGUAAGCCUGCGAAGGUGUGCUGUGAGGCAUGCUGGAGGUAUCAGAAGUGCGAAUGCUGACAUAAGUAACGAUAAAGCGGGUGAAAAGCCCGCUCGCCGGAAGACCAAGGGUUCCUGUCCAACGUUAAUCGGGGCAGGGUGAGUCGACCCCUAAGGCGAGGCCGAAAGGCGUAGUCGAUGGGAAACAGGUUAAUAUUCCUGUACUUGGUGUUACUGCGAAGGGGGGACGGAGAAGGCUAUGUUGGCCGGGCGACGGUUGUCCCGGUUUAAGCGUGUAGGCUGGUUUUCCAGGCAAAUCCGGAAAAUCAAGGCUGAGGCGUGAUGACGAGGCACUGCGGUGCUGAAGCAACAAAUGCCCUGCUUCCAGGAAAAGCCUCUAAGCAUCAGGUAACAUCAAAUCGUACCCCAAACCGACACAGGUGGUCAGGUAGAGAAUACCAAGGCGCUUGAGAGAACUCGGGUGAAGGAACUAGGCAAAAUGGUGCCGUAACUUCGGGAGAAGGCACGCUGAUAUGUAGGUGAAGUCCCUCGCGGAUGGAGCUGAAAUCAGUCGAAGAUACCAGCUGGCUGCAACUGUUUAUUAAAAACACAGCACUGUGCAAACACGAAAGUGGACGUAUACGGUGUGACGCCUGCCCGGUGCCGGAAGGUUAAUUGAUGGGGUUAGCGCAAGCGAAGCUCUUGAUCGAAGCCCCGGUAAACGGCGGCCGUAACUAUAACGGUCCUAAGGUAGCGAAAUUCCUUGUCGGGUAAGUUCCGACCUGCACGAAUGGCGUAAUGAUGGCCAGGCUGUCUCCACCCGAGACUCAGUGAAAUUGAACUCGCUGUGAAGAUGCAGUGUACCCGCGGCAAGACGGAAAGACCCCGUGAACCUUUACUAUAGCUUGACACUGAACAUUGAGCCUUGAUGUGUAGGAUAGGUGGGAGGCUUUGAAGUGUGGACGCCAGUCUGCAUGGAGCCGACCUUGAAAUACCACCCUUUAAUGUUUGAUGUUCUAACGUUGACCCGUAAUCCGGGUUGCGGACAGUGUCUGGUGGGUAGUUUGACUGGGGCGGUCUCCUCCUAAAGAGUAACGGAGGAGCACGAAGGUUGGCUAAUCCUGGUCGGACAUCAGGAGGUUAGUGCAAUGGCAUAAGCCAGCUUGACUGCGAGCGUGACGGCGCGAGCAGGUGCGAAAGCAGGUCAUAGUGAUCCGGUGGUUCUGAAUGGAAGGGCCAUCGCUCAACGGAUAAAAGGUACUCCGGGGAUAACAGGCUGAUACCGCCCAAGAGUUCAUAUCGACGGCGGUGUUUGGCACCUCGAUGUCGGCUCAUCACAUCCUGGGGCUGAAGUAGGUCCCAAGGGUAUGGCUGUUCGCCAUUUAAAGUGGUACGCGAGCUGGGUUUAGAACGUCGUGAGACAGUUCGGUCCCUAUCUGCCGUGGGCGCUGGAGAACUGAGGGGGGCUGCUCCUAGUACGAGAGGACCGGAGUGGACGCAUCACUGGUGUUCGGGUUGUCAUGCCAAUGGC